GGGACGGGUGAGUAACACGUGGAUAACCUACCUAUAAGACUGGGAUAACUUCGGGAAACCGGAGCUAAUACCGGAUAAUAUAUUGAACCGCAUGGUUCAAUAGUGAAAGACGGUUUUGCUGUCACUUAUAGAUGGAUCCGCGCCGCAUUAGCUAGUUGGUAAGGUAACGGCUUACCAAGGCAACGAUGCGUAGCCACCUGAGAGGGUGAUCGGCCACACUGGAACUGAGACACGGUCCAG
rnacentral:rRNA from 1 species